UACGGAAGGGCAAGCGUUGUUCGGAAUCAUUGGGCGUAAAGGGCGCGUAGGUGGUUCUGUAUGUCUACCGUGAAAGCAUACAGCUCAACUGUAUUUUGUCGGUAGAAACUGCAGGACUGAGGCUGGGAGGGGCUGGGUGGAAUUCCCUGUGUAGCGGUGAAAUGCGUAGAGAUGGGGAGAACACUCGUGGCGAAGGCGGCUUCCUGGGCCGCCCCUGACGCUGAGGCGCGAAAGCGUGGGGAGCGAACGGG
rnacentral:rRNA from 1 species